rnacentral:lncRNA from 1 species
GCAGCAUCUGGACCUGUUGUCUCCUGCUGCCUGAAAAUUUCUGAAACCAGAGUACCUGUGAACAAACUUAAGAGCUACUAUGUUCAGUCUGGUGUGUGUUCAGUUGAAGCAGUGCAAUUCACCACUGUUAAAGACAAAACCAUCUGUUCAGAUCCCUCUGAUCCUUGGGCAAAAAGAGCCAUGCAAGACCUGGAUGCAAAAAAAUUGACAAAAACAACAAAAAUGUCGGACCCAAGGACAGCUAAAAAGCCCCCUCAGACAAAACAAGAGAAAGACUCAACGGCUGCCAAACUACUUGUCUCUUCAAUGGAGAUGCCAACCCAAACAGCAACGCUGCACCCAGUGACGGAGGCCUGAGCCUACUUUCUCCCUUCUGGUGGUGCCAAAUGUAACAGAAAAUCUAUAAUCAAAAGCUUCUACAACAGCAUGCUUUCUCCCAGUGGAAACCCCAUAAUCGAUGACAGCUACCCAGAGGGAACCCUUUCAUCAGCAGAAGCACCAGUGCUCAAAGAAAGCCACCUGAUGGUUUGCUCUAGAAUGUCCUCUCAAAAUAUUUCGUGAAUACUACUUUCAAUCAUUGCUUUCUACAAUUAAAUAAUGAAUUUAAAGAUUUAUAGUGUAAUGUUAGUAACGAUACUCUUGAAACAAGAAAUAUACACACACACACACACACACACACACACACACACACAUUUUCAGAACCGCUUGUCCCAUAGGGGGUCACGGUGAACCGGAGCCUACCCGGCAACACAGGGCGUAAGGCCGGAGGGGGGAAAGGGACACACCCAGGACGGGACGCCAGUCCGUCACAAGGCACCCCAAGCGGGACUCGAACCCCAGACCCACCGGAGAGCAGGACUGCGGUCCAACCCACUGCGCCACCACACCCCCCUCUACAAGAAAUAUAUUCAAGCUCAAAUAAAAAUAACAGCUGUCAUGUUUGUCA